AUAUAUGUGUGUGUAUAUAUACAUACAUAUAUAUGUGUAUACACACACACACACACACACACAUGUAUAGCAAUCA
rnacentral:miRNA from 1 species